GUGGGGAAUCUUCCGCAAUGGACGAAAGUCUGACGGAGCAACGCCGCGUGAGUGAUGAAGGUCUUCGGAUUGUAAAGCUCUGUUAAUCGGGACGAAAGAGCCUAGUGUGAAUAAUGCUAGGAAGUGACGGUACCGGAAUAGAAAGCCACGGCUAACUACGUGCCAGCAGCCGCGGUAAUACGUAGGUGGCAAGCGUUGUCCGGAAUUAUUGGGCGUCAAGCGCGCGCAGGCGGAUCUGCCAGUCUGUCUUAAAAGUUCGGGGCUUAACCCCGUGAUGGGAUGGAAACUACAGAUCUAGAGUAUCGGAGAGGAAAGUGGAAUUCCUAGUGUAGCGGUGAAAUGCGUAGAUAUUAGGAAGAACACCAGUGGCGAAGGCGACUUUCUGGACGAAAACUGACGCUGAGGCGCGAAAGCCAGGGGAGCGAACGGGAUUAGAUACCCCAGUAGUCC
rnacentral:rRNA from 1 species